AAUGGGUGAAGGCAACUGUGCCUUCACCCGAUAACCUUUAUAUAUAGAAAAAGGGAGAAGGUUGCUUGGCUUCUUCUCUCCACCACCUCCGGCCAGCUGCUUCCGGCGAGUCUCCGGCCGGCAAGGUACUCUCCUCUCUAAGACCACACACAUGCUUCAAUUUCUUACAAGAAAAUAGAAGAUUAAGAUUCAAGUGUGGGUUUUGAUUCAACUUUAGAGAAGAGUUUGAUUUCUUGAAUUGAAGACACAAACCAGCUUCAAGGUUGGUGAAUUUAUGUGGAGUAUACGUUACGUUUGUGGUAAGAAUUUACAAUUCGCUUUAAGGUAGGGAAAUUUCACCCUUUACUAUUCUCUUCGAAUAUGUCCUCCUAUUAAGAACGUUUAUCUUUUCUCAUUGUUCAUUAUGAUUCUUGUUCUCGCCUUAAUUGUCCCUAAGGGAGAACAACCCCAUUGUGUUUACUUUGUUGUAUGACUUGAGUUUUAUUGCAUACCCUACAUGUUCAGUCCUUUAUUGAGCACAAAUUAUUCUUGAACAUGCAUCAUGUAGUAGUAUAUAUAUACGUGGGUUGUAUGUAUACUUCAUUGUUUAACCAUGUUGGACAUGCAUUGUAGUUGCACGGUUGAUGUUGGGUAUGGACCCGUACAUCUCCUAGGUUUGAUUGAUAUGAAAUGUGGAAUGCUGGUGGGUUGUUCAGGGUUCCUAAGAAUAUGGGAACGCCAGUGGGCCGAGUAAGGAUUUCACAUGUACUCGAAGCACCAUGCAAUGAUGUCGCUGGGCUGUUCAGGGUCCCAAUAUGUAUAGGGACGUCGGUGGGUCAAGUUAUGAUCUCGUAUGGUGUGGUUAUCUACUUGGGUUUGGUGUACAUGAUGUUAGCUAU